rnacentral:rRNA from 1 species
AACGGCGAGUGAAGCGGGAUGAGCUCAAUUUAAAAUCUUGCAGCCUCAGGUUGUACGAGUUGUAGUCUAGAGAAUCGUUUUCCGCGUUGGCCUGUGUACAAGUCCCUUGGAACAGGGCGUCAUAGAGGGUGAGAAUCCCGUCCUUGACACAGAUUACCAAUGCUUUGUGAUGCGAUCUCGAAGAGUCGAGUUGUUUGGGAAUGCAGCUCAAAAUGGGUGGUAAAUUCCAUCUAAAGCUAAAUAUUGGCGAGAGACCGAUAGCGAACAAGUACCGUGAGGGAAAGAUGAAAAGCACUUUGGAAAGAGAGUUAAACAGUACGUGAAAUUGUUAAAAGGGAAACGAUUGAAGUCAGUCAUGCUUUCCGAGACUCAGCCGAUUCUGUCGGUGUACUUCUCGGUUUGCAGGCCAGCAUCAGUUUCGAUCUGUGGAAAAGGUUGGAGGGAACGUGGCAUCCUCGGAUGUGUUAUAGCCCUUCUUCGAAUACACAGAGCGGGACUGAGGAACGCAGCGCGCCUUUUAUUAGGUUGGCCUUCGGGUACAUUCGCGCUUAGGAUGCUGGCAUAAUGGCUUUAAACGACCCGUCUU